rnacentral:rRNA from 1 species
AGCAGCCGCGGUAAUUCCAGCUCCAAUAGCGUAUAUUAAAGUUGUUGCAGUUAAAAAGCUCGUGGUUGAAUUUCGGGGUUCUACCGUUGGUCGGGCUUUGUCUGUACUGAUGUGUAGAAUUUCUACCUUCUGGGGAACCAUCAUGUUAUUAAUUUAGCGUGGUGGGAAACCAGGACCUUUACCUUGAAAAAUUAGAGUGUUCAAAGCAGGCUUAUGUCUGAAUACAUUAGCAUGGAAUAAUAGAAUAGGACGGUGGUCCUGUUUGUUGGUUUCUGAAUCACCGUAAUGAUUAAUAGGGAUAGUUGGGGGCAUUAGUAUUCAAUUGUCAGAGGUGAAAUUCUUGGAUUUAUUGAAGACUAACUUCUGCGAAAGCAUUUGCCAAGGAUGUUUUCAUUAAUCAAGAACGAAAGUUAGGGGAUCGAAGACGAUCAGAUACCGUCGUAGUCUUAACCAUAAACUAUGCCGACUAGGGAUCGGAUGAUGUUAAUUUUUUAAUGUACUCAUUCGGCGCCUUACGGGA